rnacentral:rRNA from 1 species
UACAGGGGGGGCAAGCGUUGUUCGGAAUUACUGGGCGUAAAGGGCUCGUAGGCGGCCAACUAAGUCACACGUGAAAUCCCCAGGCUCAACCUGGGAACUGCGUGUGAUACUGGAUGGCUUGAAUUCGGGAGAGGGAUGCAGAAUUCCAGGUGUAGCGGUGAAAUGCGUAGAUAUCUGGAGGAAUACCGGUGGCGAAGGCGGCAUCCUGGACCGACAUUGACGCUGAUGAGCGAAAGCGUGGGGAGCAAACAGG